UCUUCAACUCAGGAUCUCUUAAUAAACAUUAUAUGUUCCUAAAUCAUAGAGUACCAACCAAGAGAAUUUUAAGCUCAGGUCGCAACCCCUCCUUUACAUCUUCCUUGAGCUGACAUAAACAGGCACCAUUUUGUUGGCAAUCUUUAUUCUCACUAUUAAUGUUGGUUGCACCAUCAAAUUCACUAGCAAACUCUUUGCAUCAUUGGCAAUCACCUUGAUCUGCAUCUUUUAUAGAUCCUUUAGAAU
rnacentral:lncRNA from 1 species